UUUAUCAAAUUUUAAUACGGAAUAUGAAAGCUUACGUACCUAAGAAAACUAUAUAUAAUGGACUCUUACAGAACAUUCACUACAUAAAAAGACAUAAAAUCACUUCUAUCUUCUCCCAGUUAUUUCACAAUCUCUUUACUAGCUUUGCAGUUUUCAUCCCUAAUAUAGCAUUUUGAUUAAAAGGCACAACUUUCAUCAUUUUAAAGCUGCUUUCGCACUACAAGAAAACAUAUUUUUUACGAGGGCAAUAUACGUUGUAACUUCGUCGUAAACGGGGUGUUACGACGAAUGAACCGCGAAACACGUUUCGUCGUAAAACGCCCGUCGUAACCGACGUUUCGUCGUAAAUGACUUGUUAAGUUUACGACGAAAUAUAUUCCUCGUAAAGCGCAGGGCAGAGAUUCGUCGUAAACGACACGUAAAAUUUCGUGGUAAACUCCACGUAAUGGAUUCGAUGUAAAGCAC
rnacentral:lncRNA from 1 species